UACCUGGUGGCGUAGUGGUUUGAGUGUUGGACUAUGACUCUGUAGACCAGGGUUCAGUUCCCUCUUAGCUAU
rnacentral:tRNA from 1 species